UACGGAGGGGGCAAGCGAUGUUCGGAAUUACUGGGCGUAAAGCGCGAGUAGGCGGCUGGGUAAGUCAGAUGUGAAAGCCCUCGGCUCAACCGGGGAACUGCGUCUGAUACUGCCUGGCUUGAGUCCGGUAGGGGGUAGCGGAAUUCCCGGUGUAGCGGUGGAAUGCGUAGAUAUCGGGAGGAAUACCGAUGGCGAAGGCGGCGACCUGGGCCGGUACUGACGCUGAGGCGCGAAAGCUAGGGGAGCAAACAGG
rnacentral:rRNA from 1 species